AGACCCAGUCUCCGAGGCUUAUGGCGAUGCUGGUCCUAGGACCCGGACGAGUUAUGCGACCUCUGGGUGGCCAACUUUGGCGCUUCUUGCCUCGCGGACUCGAGCUUUGGGGCCCAGCCGAGGGGACUGCGAGAGUCUUGCUGAGGCAGUUCUGCGCGCGGCAAGCGGAGGCGUGGCGUGCCUCGGGGCGCCCUGGCUACUGCCUGGGAACCCGGCCCCUCAGCACGGCGAGGCCGCCACCCCCGUGGUCGCCGAAGGGCCCCGGAGACUCCACGCGCCCCUCGAAGCCCGGGCCUGUUUCCUGGAAGUCUUUAGCAAUCACAUUUGCUAUUGGAGGAGCUUUGCUGGCUGGAAUGAAGCACGUCAAGAAAGAAAAGGCAGAGAGUAAGUAGAUAUCAUCUGCUCAGCCCUGUAUAAAGUUCUUCCUGGCUAUGGACUAGCACCUUUUUUGUUGUUUUUUAGCUUUUUGUUUUGAAACAACUUUAGAUUUACCAAAAAAAUUGCAAAGAUAGCAUAGGUUCUACAUACCUUUCACCCAGCUUCCCCUAAUAUUAACAUCUUAU
rnacentral:sRNA from 1 species